CACCGCCCGUCGCUACUACCGAUUGAAUGGCUCAGUGAGGCUUCCGGACUGGCCCAGGGAGGUCGGCAACGACCACCCAGGGCCGGAAAGCUAUCCAAACUCGGUCAUUUAGAGGAAGUAAAAGUCGUAACAAGGUCUCCGUUGGUGAACCAGCGGAGGGAUCAUU
rnacentral:rRNA from 1 species